rnacentral:rRNA from 1 species
GAUGAACGCUAGCGGCAGGCCUAAUACAUGCAAGCUGAACGGCAAGAUUUGUAGCAAUACGGAUCCUAGAGUAGCGUAAGGGUGCGUAACACGUAUGCAAUCUACCCGCAACAGGAGGAUAGCUCUUCGAAAGAGGAAUUAAGACUCCAUAAUACCAUUUGAGGGCAUCUGAGGAUGGUUAAACUACAAGGGGUUGCGGAUGAGCAUGCGUCUGAUUAGUUAGUUGGCGGGGUAACGGCCCACCAAGACGAUGAUCAGUAGGGGAACUGAGAGGUUGGUCCCCCACACUGGCACUGAGAUACGGGCCAGACUCCUACGGGAGGCAGCAGUAGGGAAUAUUGGACAAUGGGUGCAAGCCUGGUCCAGCCAUGCCGCGUGCAGGAAGAAAGCCUUCUGGGUUGUAAACUGCUUUUUUCAGGGGAUAAAAUACCGGUGCGCCGGGAAUUGCAAGUACCUGGAGAAUAAGCCACGGCUAACUACGUGCCAGCCGCCGCAGUAACAC